CCUACGGGUGGCAGCAGUGAGGAAUAUUGGUCAAUGGCCGAGAGGCUGAUCCAGCAAAGUCGCGUGAGGGAAGACGGCCUUCCGGGUUGUAAACCCUUUUUGUCGGGGAGCAAAGCGAGUCACGUGUGACUCAUUGAGAGUACCCGAACAAAAAGCAUCGGCUAACUACGUGCCAGACGCCGCGGUAAUACGGAGGAUGCGAGCGUUGUCCGGAUUUAGUGGGUUUAAAGGGAGUGUAGGUGGAUUGUUAAGUUAGUUGUGAAAGUUUGCGGCUCAACCGUAAAAUUGCAGUGGAAACGGGCAGUCUUGAGUACAGAAGAGGUGAGCGGAAUUCGGGGUGUAGCGGUGAAAGGCGUAGAUAUCACGAAGAACUCCGGUGGCGAAGGCAGCUCACUGGACUGCAACUGACACUGAGGCUCGAAAGUGUGGGUAUCAAACAGGAUUAGAUACCCGAGUAGUC
rnacentral:rRNA from 1 species